CUCUUGAUAUUCAUGACCUUGGGCCCUCCCCUCCUCUGGAGUGACUUGUUUCUGACCAAUAGAAAACCUCAACGUGAAGGCAAUAUGUGUUCUGCUGGAGAUCACUGGUCAUGAACUCUCUUUGACUCUCAGAGAAGUCAAGCGGCUGCAUUCCUGUGUCUGUCCAGCCCCAGGAGACCACCGAUUGAAGUCUGAAUCAUGAGCAGAGAGUUAUCAAGAGCCUUGAACACUGGGGGGAGAAAAAAUCUGAUGUCAUGAGCAUACAUAUCUUUCCUACUUU